UUAUACGAUAUAUAUAUAUUUCAAGAGUUCAUUGUUCAACAUUAGUACACUAUAUAGUGACUAUACGUUGCACAAGCGGUGAUUUUGGAACCAAAUUACCAGAGAAUAUGGUGUCGGUUUGCGUGAAGACAGUUUUACUUUUGAUGUUCUUUACCUACCUAACUUCUACAAUUACACAAGCCUGAGCACCACCACCCACUAUGGGCACUACUAAAGGUGGUGGCAAUAGACAUACUUUAACGAUGCCGUUCGGCACAACAUUAAAGAGACGGAAGGUCAGGGCAGUUUCUGGUGUUGAUGAAUUCCAAGAAAGAAGAAGGCGAGAAACAGAGAGUGAAGAUGAAAUUAUUGAACGGUUGAUUGACGCCGGAAUGAAUAAUUAGCAGUUAGCCCAUCAAUAAAAGACUGUAGAAGACAAGUAAAAUAGUAUGGGAAGAAUAGUAAGAAAUUAAAAAGAAUAUCGUUGCAUGUAAUAGAGGGCAUUUGAAGCAAUAUUUUCAAGAGAUAAGGCAAUUGAUUUAUACAAAAUAAUGUCAGAUCAAUCAUGCAUAUAUAUGACGUUUCAUC